UACGUAGGGCGCAAGCGUUGUCCGGAAUUAUUGGGCGUAAAGAGCUCGUAGGCGGUUUGUCGCGUCUGCUGUGAAAACCUAAGGCUCAACCUUGGGCUUGCAGUGGGUACGGGCAGACUAGAGUGCGGUAGGGGUGACUGGAAUUCCUGGUGUAGCGGUGGAAUGCGCAGAUAUCAGGAGGAACACGAUGGCGAAGGCAGGUCACUGGGCCGCAACUGACGCUGAGGAGCGAAAGCAUGGGGAGCGAACAGG
rnacentral:rRNA from 1 species